UCGGGAAUUUUGGGCAAUGAGCGAAAGCCUGAUCCAGCCAUGCCGCGUGUGUGAAGAAGGUCUUCGGAUUGUAAAGCACUUUAAGUUGGGAGGAAGGGCAGUUACCUAAUACGUGAUUGUUUUGACGUUACCGACAGAAUAAGCACCGGCUAACUCUGUGCCAGCAGCCGCGGUAAUACAGAGGGUGCAAGCGUUAAUCGGAAUUACUGGGCGUAAAGCGCGCGUAGGUGGUUAGUUAAGUUGGAUGUGAAAUCCCCGGGCUCAACCUGGGAACUGCAUUCAAAACUGACUGACUAGAGUAUGGUAGAGGGUGGUGGAAUUUCCUGUGUAGCGGUGAAAUGCGUAGAUAUAGGAAGGAACACCAGUGGCGAAGGCGACCACCUGGACUGAUACUGACACUGAGGUGCGAAAGCGUGGGGAGCAAACAGGAUUAGAUACCCCCGUAGUCCCUGAGCGGGCUGGCAAGGCGCAU
rnacentral:rRNA from 1 species